rnacentral:lncRNA from 1 species
UAAACUAAGGAGAUAGAGAGGAAGAGCCAGCCCUAGAGUUUCUCCUAUACGUGAGGACUGCUCUCGAAGAAAAACUGUAUCGGAAUAGCUGGACUUAACGGUAUGUGAUUAAACUUAUUUUUUUAUAUAUUUGAAUUAAAUGCUAUAGUGUUUUAAUUCCUUGUAUAGUGAUCCAAAAAUUCUGAGAAAGGUUAAUACUAGGAUUAAAACCCUAAAAAAAUUGUAAUUAACAAAGGGGUAUUUUGUUCUUGUAAAUUGAUCUACUAAGACUGAAUUCGAGUUGCAAUAACUUGAGAGGUUUUGUUCUUCUGGUCAAUAUGAGUUCAUAGGAUCAAGAAUCAUCGAAAUUUUGAUUUGUACAAUAAGAGUUAUUGCAUUUUGAAAUUUCUGGAUUUUACAAACCUCUAAAUCAAUCACCAAACUGAUUGUUGCAGAAAUUAUAAAACAACCACAGAUCUAAGUUUAUGCAAAAGUUUAAACACUAAUAGAUUUGAGAUUUGCACCAUCGAUCUUAACCCAAACAAUCCCAAUACUGUAGAAAGUUUAGAACACCCUAGAUUUAAACAAUAUAUGUUGCAGAAAUUUUAAAACUUCUCAGACCUAAGAUAUAGGUUAUAGAAAUUUCAAACACCUCCAGAUCUAAGAGAUAUAUAUGUGAAAAAACCAAAUACCCACAGAUCUAUAAUAUAGGUAUUGCAUAAAUUUUAAAUCAGCCAUAGAUCUACAAUAUUCUCCACAAAUCAACAUCCCAAACAUCCAAAAUCAGAUCUAGAAAUUUUCUGUAGCUUGAGAAAGUUACCUUCUGAGAGAUUUUUUUGCUUCACUCUCUCUGUCUUACGUAUUGGUAUGGUUCUUAUAAUUUUUAAAAAGGCUUUAUAUAUUGUUUCAAUUAUUAUGUAUAUUCGAGUUUCUGAAUUGGCGUGGAUGGCACCACCAAAGUGGUUCAUUCAUUCUAAUUUUUGGAACUCUUUCAAUAAGGAUUCUAGGAAGCUCCUUUAAUUUUAUAGCAUGCCAUUACCUACCCAAAGGAGGUUAAUUGUGUGUGUUAAUUUUAAUGGUGGUGUAAGUUAUCAGUAGGGAAGUUUAUUGACUCUAAAGAAAUCUAUCUACCUAAAGGUGAUAGUUUUUUCUAAGGAGUCAUUCUUACUAAUUGACUUGUUAGAGGUAUUAAGAUGUGCCCUAUAUAUUCAGCCCAAAGGUGUUUAUAUUGUUACAUUUCAAGCCUCUGAGAAUAUUACUAAAGUUUAUUUUUUAGCAUGUUCUUAGAAUUAUUAUUAAUGCUCAAACAUAGCUAAUUAAAUUCUAUGUUGAAUUUUAUUUUUAUUUCAGCUACUAGCAGUAUUGCUAUGAAUAAUCAGAUUUGCUCUAUUGAAACUUUGACUGGGAAUAAUUUCAAAAGAUGGAAGAGAGGUUGAGUUGGCCCUGGGUUUGGCUAACUUAGAUAUUGCUCUAUAUGAGGAUGAGCCCCCAAAGCCUACCGAGAAUAGUACUAUUGAGCAAAAGACUAUUAUCAAAGAUGGGCAAAGGCUAAUAGACUGAGUAUAAUGAUUAUGAAGAAGUCUAUAUGAGAGAGUUUUCAGGGUGCUAUGCCAAAUGAGACCAAUACUAAAUCAUGCCUUGAUGCUAUAGGACAGAAAUACCUAGAGUCUGAAAAGGCCAAAACUGGUGAGCUUAUGUUGACUUUGUCCACAAUGAAAUAUGAUGGAGUGAGUAGUGUUAGAGCCUACAUCAUAAAAAUGCAAAAGAUAACUAAUAAGUUGUCUAACCUCAAGGUACCCAUUGCUGAAACCUUCCUUGUUCAGCAAGCCCUUAACUCUCUUUCUUUACAUUUUGAUGACCAGAAAACCACUUAUAAUGCCCAAAAAAAGACUUGAAGUGUGAACGAACUUAUUGCUAUUUGUGUCCAAGAAGAAGAAAGGCAUAAGAAAGAAAGAGAGGAGAGUGUGAAUAUGGUGCAUCAGCCAUGUUUUUCUAAGGGUCCAGGCAAUAAAGGAAACUCACAUCGACAAAAGAACAAAUUUUACCAACCUCAAAACAAUCAAGUGAAACACAAUCAGUCUAACAAUUUGAAUGCCCCUAAGCCUGCCAUUAAGAAACACUCAAGCUGCUGGUUUUGCAACAUGAGUGGUCACAAGAAAGUGAAUUGUUAUAAAUACAAGGCAUGGUUAGAAAGGAAGAAUAAAAAAAGGAGGUAAUUCACUUGCCUUUGUUUGUUUUGAAUCCUCUUUAAUAGAUGUGCCACCAAAUUCUUGGUGGCUUGUUAGUGGAACAUGUAUUCAUGUUUCCAAUUCUUUGCAGGGGUUCAUAAACAAAUGCAGGCCAAGUAAAGGGGAAGAUAGCAUCUAUGUAGGAAAUGGUGUCAAGGUCUGUUGUAUUUGUUGGAAUAGUUAAGUUAUUUUUUAAGUCUGGCUCUUGUCUCAUUUUAGAAAACAUUAUUUUUGUACCGUCCAUGAGCCGAAAUUUGGUGUCUGUGUCAAGACUUGAUGGGUCAAGAUAAUGUUUUAGUUUUGAUAAUGAAAAUUUUGAAUUGUUCUAAAAUUCUAUUUUCAUUGCUAAUGGUUUUCUAUGUGAUGGCUUGUAUAAAUUAAAUCUGACCUCAAAAUAAUUUUCCAUGAAUAUUGAAAGAAGUGGCACCAAAAGAGCAUUGAUAAAGAAGAAAUCUUCUAUGUUAUAGCAUAGAAGACUAGCACAUAUUUUUAAAGAACGAAUUGAAAGAUUGAUUAAAAAUAAAAUUCUCCCUAACAUUAAUUUUAAUGACUAUGAAACAUGUGUGGAUUGCAUAAAAGAAAAAAAUGACCAAAACAAAGAAACAUGGAGCCACUCGUAGUAAAGAUCUCUUGGAAAUUAAACACACCGACAUUUGUGGACCCUUACCUCCUGCCUUGUGUGGAAGAAAAUAUUUUGUCACAUUUAUAGAUGAUCGUUCACAUUAUAGUUUUGUUUAUUUAAUUCAUAACAAGUCGGAAGCCCUUGAGAAAUUCAAAUAUAUAAGACCAAUGUUGAAAAACAAACCGGCAAGGUGAUUAAAAAUGUUAGGUCUAACCGUGGAGGUGAAUAUUAUGGUAAACAUGGUAAUGUUGGUCAACAUAUGGGACCUUUUGCUGAAUUUUUCCAAAGUUGUGACAUUAAUGUACAAUACACAAUGCCUGGGACCCCUAAGCAAAAUGUUGUGGCUGAGCGUCGUAAUUGUACACUUAAGAAAAUGGUUAAAUGCAUGUUAAGUGAGUCCAAAUUACCUAAGUCUCUUUGGGGUGAAGCUCUUUUGAUUGCAAUGUAUGUCCUAAACAGAAUACCCAGCAAAUCUAUUCCCAAAACACCUUUUGAGUUGUGGAUGGGUAGAAGGCCUAGUUUGAACCAUUUUCGGGUUUGGGGUUGUCCGGCUGAAGUAAAAAUUUAUAACCCAGUCGAAACCAAAUUAGGGCCAAGAACCACUUGUUAUUUUGUAGGCUAUCCAGAAGGCUCAAAGGGCUAUAGGUUUUACUGUCCUGGUCAUGGCACAAGGAUUGUAGAGGCAAAUAAUGCAAGGUUUUUGGAGCAUGAUGCUGGUGAUUGUGUGUGCACUACAAGACAGCAUGAUGCUUCAAAAGGUGACUUUACUAUUGUAUCUCUGCCUGUUGGAUUAGAUAGGUUCGUUUCUCAACCUAUUGAAAGGGUGGAAUUAUGUAUAGAACAAGAAUAAGGAACGCCAAAUCAACCUUUCCCUACACCUCAACCAGUUGAACCUACUCAACCUGUUCAACCUCCUAGACGCUCACAAAGAGAAAGAAGGCCAGCAAUUUCUAAUGAUUAUGUUAUCUUUUUGGGAGAACAAGAGCAUGGUGUUGAUGAAGUGAUUGAUACAGUCACAUAUAGUCAAGCCAUUACAAGUUCACAAUCUGAUAAGCGGAUGGAUGCAAUGAGGGAGGAGAUGCAAUCUAUGACUCGAAAUGGAGUAUGGGAGCUUGUUGAGCUUCUAGAAGGUUUUAAACCUGAAACAUUUUCUUCUAUUUCUACAAAAGAUUCUUUCAGGAUUAUCAUGGCUUUGACAACACAUUUUCAUUUAGAGCUCCAUCAAAUGGAUGUUAAGACAGUCUUUUUAAAUGGAGAUCUUUAUGAGGAAGUUUAUAUAGUGCAACCUGAAGGCUUUGAAGAAUCAGGGAGAGAGAAUUUGGUUUGUAAGUUGAAAAGGUCUAUUUAUGGUCUGAAAUAAGCCUCUAGACAAUGGUAUCUAAAGUUUUAUCAGGUUGUGUUAUCUCUUCGUUUUAUUGAGAAUACAGUUGUUUUUUGCAUAUAUCUCAAGAUCAGUGGUAGCAAGUUUAUUUUCUUGGUUCUGUAUGUUGAUGAUAUUUUACUUGCUAGUAAUGACUUGGGAUUAUUGCAUGAUGUCAAAAAGGUGCUAUAUGAGAAUUUUGAUAUGAAAGAUCUUGGAGAAGUAGCAUAUAUGCUUGGUAUUAAGAUACACAGAGAUAGAUCCAAGCAAUUUUUAGGUUUGUCUCAAAAGGCCUACAUUGAUGUGUUCUUAGUAGAUUCAAUAUGAAAAACUGCAAGCCUGGUCUUGUUUCUGUUUGUAAAGGGGACAAGUUAAAUAAAAGCCAAUGUCCGAAGAAUGAUGUUGAAAAGGAAUCUAUGAAAAAUGUGCCAUAUUCUAGUGCUAUAGGUAGCUUGAUAUAUGCUAGGGUGUGCACUAGACCAGACAUCGUCUAUACAACUAAUCUGUUGGGUAGAUAUUCUUCCAAUCCCGAUCAUGAUCAUUGGGCAGGAGCUAAAAAGAUGUUGAGACACUUGAAGAAAACUAAGAGAUAUAUGCUUGUUUAUGAAAAAGUUGACAACCUUGAAGUCGGUGGUUAUGCAAAUGCAGAUUUUGCUGGUUACUCAGAUGAUACGAAGUCUACUACAGGAUAUAUUUUCAUGCUUGUUGGAGGAGCUAUAUCUUGAAAGAGUUUCAAACAAUUUCUUGUUGCGUCUUUCACCAUGCAAGCAGAAGUAAUUGCAUGCUUUGAAGUGAGGGCUCAUGCCAUAUGGUUAAAAAACUUUAUCUUAGGGCUUAGGGUUGUUGAUUCCAUCUCAAGACCUAUAACCAUUUAUUGUGAUAACAUGGCUGCAAUAUUCUUUACAAAAAAUACUAAGAACUCUGGUGGUGCUAAAUACAUAAUCUCCAGUAUUUUAAAAUUAGAAAAUGGGUUGAUAACGGUGACAUUUACUAUGAGCAUAUUGCUAUAGAAGAUAUGGUUGCUGAUCCAUUAACCAAGGAGCUUAGACCUAUUAAUUUUAUUAAACAUGUUGAGCACAUGAGCUUGCUGAUGUCAUUUGAUGUGCUUGGUUAGUGGGAGUCUUACGUAUAUAUAUUCUUAAGACCAUAUUGUUAUUUGCUAUAUUUGAAAUAUUGAAGUUUGAAGUGAUUGCUCUUUAAAUACUUGUUAUUUACAGUUAUAUAUGUGUGCACACUUGGCAUUGCUCGAUAUAAAAUAUAUCUUUGAUUUAAAGCAUUGAUGGAUUAGUUUUUUUAAGAAAAUCUUGAGAUGUAGGGUUUCACACUUCGGUUUAGAGUAUAAAGGCUUCUAUUUAGAAACAUAAAGGAUACAUAAAGUCUAAUGCUUCGAUUUAGAGACAUGUUGUCUUCUUUAGGAAGACCAAAAGUGGAUUGGAUGUGGAAUUGGCAUAUUAUAUAGUUGUGGAUCACUUGUGCACAAAUGCCACACUACACCUUACCACAUUCAGGGAUCCAUGUCGAUGAAGUAUUGAUAUUUGUAAUUAUGGAAGGUCUUGUGUUGAUGAAUAACACAAUUACCGCCAUAAUUCUAUAUUGAUAUUUUUAUUGGAUCGGGUCUUGUAUUGAGAUGUUCUCUUCUGAAUCAUAUUUAUGUGGCCACAAAGUUGUUCAACCCUUGAGUCAUUUUCCUAAAAUAAGUAUAACACUUUUUUUUUAAAAAAAAGAUCAACAAUCAAUGUUGCCCAAGUGAGAGAAUGUAAAAUUUUAUUUAAAAUGUGGGCUGAUUGUGUGUUUUAUACUAUUUGUGAAAAACGGAUUGAAAGUGAUUUAGAUAAAUUGACGGGUAAAGCCCAAAUAAAGUUGUGAUCCAUAAAGUUUUGGGCUGUGGUCCAUCUCAGUGUUUUUCUAGUAUAUAUACAUAUAGGAAUGUGGUAUGGAGGUGUAGGGCCUAGUUCUUGGUUAUUUGGGUACCUUAAUGGGAGGGCCCAAUAACUAUUUUAUUUAUUUUGGCUCGGUCCCCUCUCCCAUCCAAAAUCCUACUCUGACUCAAUAUUAUAUAUAUGAGUUAGAGGGUUGUCUGCCCCAUUGUAUGGCAAUAUAAACUAAGGAGAGAGAGAGAGAAAGAGCCGGCCCUAGAGUUUCUCCUAUACGUAAGGACUGUUCUUGAAAAAAAACUGUAUCGGAAUGGCCGGACUAAAUGGUAUGUGAUUAACCUUUUUUUUAUAUAUAUUUGAAUUAAAUUCUCUCGUGUUUUAAUUCCUAGUAUCAUGAUCCAGAAAUUCGGACAUGGAGAUCUUACACAGGCGAGGUGUACCACAAUGAAGUUUGACAAAAGGAUCAUCAUUCAAGUUUGCCCACGAGCAAUCCACUGUAGCCCGUUUCUCAUUGAUUAAAAGAUGAUCUUCCCUUGAUAUACAUUGUGAGCCAACAAGAGUGCCAAAACAAUGCAAAACAAAUAAGAUUUUCAGGACUUUGACUAUGUACAUUCCAAAACACAGCUAGCAGGUUUGUACAAUGAUUAUAUUGGAUCUAUCAAAGAUUUUAC